UGUAUUAAAUGAGGAAAACAAAAGAUUACGAAGAGACAAUGAAAGACUGCGCAAAUUACGAUCUGUCAACGAAGAUUUGCCAAAGAUAGAUAAAUUUAUGAAAGAUGUUACGGCCGACUUGCAAUGUGCUUCAUGGAAAACCGAAUUUCUCAAUAAUCAGAUUGAUAAACUGCAACAGAAAGUACAAGCAAUAAGUAACUGCAUUAUUGAACGUGAGCAAGAUUAUACUCCGCCUCCAGCAAUGACACUAGAGUCUGAU